UUUUUUUAAAAGAAUACACACAUAGUGGUUUAAAAAAAGUUGCAAAAAGCUUAACGAGAUUAAUUUCAAACUGAGCCUCAAACUGAGCCUAAGUGCCAGUUGAUCAAUAUUCCAUUGUAAUAUAAUGGGCAGGUCAUUUUUUUCCUCGCAAAAAGAAAAAUGGGCAGUUCAUUUUUACAAUCAAUUAAGCUUAUAUAUUCAUCAUUGAUUUGCAAUAUAUUGAAAAUCACACAUGGCGGGAAUUUUAAAUGUGCUGAUUAAUUACUGGUGUCUCAGUUGUGGGUAGUAAUUAAAACAUGGAAUCUAUACAUAGCAGUAGAUUAUUGUCACUGCUCUGGCAACAAUCUUAAGUGUACUAUUAAUGACUAGUGCAUAUCACCAGCAAUACAGAGGUGAAGAAAACUGAAGAAUUAAUGGCAUGCAAGGAUAGUAUUUCAAUUAAUCAUCAAUUUAUUUCACUGCCAAAAAUACUUGGUCACUACUAGCUGUAGAUUGAUUGCGUACAGAUUAGUUGCAGGCUGGCAAAUAAAACCAAAUAAUUAAUGAAUGAGUAAACGUACGCAUGCAACAGCUACAGAAAUGAAAUUCUCGCAUAAAAACCUCCAAUAUUAAUAACGAAAAUAAAUCAUCUUAGCUGUAGCACUAGCACCAUAUCUGCUGCUACUAUCAACAGAGAGUAGCAAGCAUAAAUCACAAGAAAACACCAGCUAGCGGCCAAUCCAUGCAUCCGGCUGCAUGCAGGCUUGUGGCUAAUAAUUGUCAUGCAGCUAGCUAGUAAUUAAAACCAAUGACAGUGCAGUAUGCCAGAGAUAUAGAUAGAUGGAGGUAGAGAGAGAGAGAGAGAGAGAGAGAGAGAAGAAGCUAAGAUUUUUACCGGACGCAUGGGUCAAGCAAGCACAGCAACAGCAGUAGUACAGUACACUGCUUGCCGGCCAGUUGCCCACCACGGAAUGCAGCUACACGAUCACAUGAGAAACAAGCUAGCCAGCCGCCGCGCUGCGAGGCAUGUUUGGAUUGGAUGCCGUGGCUUGUAGCAGCUUGCAGACGAACGACGGGGGCGCGUAUGUCUCACCACGUGAACAGGUGGGGGAAGAGAGAGGAGAGGAGAGGAGCGUGGUUUCCGAGGUGGAAAAAAGGAGGAGAUGGCUCCUUUUUGAGCCGUCGCCCAUGUCAGGAUGCAUAUCUCUCCCGUCUCCUCCCGACAAGAACGGUUCACGUGGGAGCAGCAGCGCUCAUGCCCUCUCGUCGCAUUUCAUGCUCGAUCCACUGCACGCAGCGCACGCGCGCGCGGCGCGUCUAUGGAGAUCGUCGUCGUCCCUACCGUUCCUUCUCUCUCGAAGGAAUCCAAUCUCUUCCAUGGCGGAGCAACGAGCUAUAGCAACGAACGAACGACGACAACCCUAGCUAACCCUAACAAAGGCGUACUACCACCACCACCCAUCAAAUCGAUCGAUCACUUUCCCGCGAUCGAGUUCAUCAUGACCCAAUCAUGCGAACGAACAAAACAGGAAGAUAAUAAUACCCCAUUGAAUUCGAAAGGAAUAUAUCUAUCUAGCUACUAUCCUAGCCAGCCGAUUUUGCUGUCAAUUCAAUUCGCGAAAGAAUUAAUUGCAAAGAUAUGGAUCAAUUACUCGAAUUAAUUAACUUAGAUCGUGAACGAAUCAAUCCAUGGACGAGACGAGGAAGAUCAAGAUCGAAGCAUACGGACCUGGAGAAGAGGGUGCCGCAGUCGCAGCGGUACUCGCGGGUGCCGCAGGUCUUGGAGUGGGCCUUCCAGUCGGACUGCACGGCGUAGCGCUUGGAGCACUUGUCGCAGCGCCACUUCUUCUCGCCGUGCUUGCGGCAGUAGUGCUUCUUGAUCCCGGUGAGGUCGCCGAGGGCCCGCGACGGGUCGUGGUGGACGCACGACGGCUCCGGGCACAGGUACACGCGCCGGCGAGCCUCCUUGGGGUUCUUCUGCUUCAGCUUCCACGGCAGGUUGUGCCCUCGCCGGUGCAGCUGCAGGUUCUGCUCCCGCUGGAACCCCUUGUUGCACACCUCGCACACGAACCUGUUGGUCGCCAUCAGCGUCCGCGGCGACAGCGCUAUCACCUCCGCAUCUGGAUCUGCACGAGAAGAAUCGACAACUGAUUAAUUUUAACACGAUACAAUCGAACGAAGAAGAAAGGGGAAAUCAAUCGAUCAAGAAAGAACACUUGCUUGGGUUUCCAGGCUGGUUCCUCUUCUUCUUCGGCGCGGGCGCGGCGGCGGCGACGGGAGCGGGGGAGGGGUUGGGGUGGUGGUGGAGGGCUGGAUUGGUGGGAUUCUGCGGCGGCGGCAUCUGCGUGUCGCCGAGCCCAAAGAAGGGUGCGGACGAGGCGGCCGCCAUCCCCGCAAAACAACAGGGAGAGAUCGAUCACUACAGCACAGCACAGCUAGAUAUAUAGCUUGCUCUCCCUACCCUGGCGGCGCGUCCUCUCGCUGCUUACUUUGUUGGCUUCAGGUGAGGCGCAGCCACCUGAUCAAUUCAGUCCAAUUUAAGUCACAGAGGAGGCGACAUGGCUGGCACUGUUUAUCUAUCUGCCUCUCCUCCGGCCGCUUCUGAUCUAAAAGACAAGUGAAAGAAGUGAGCAACACAUAAAUACUUGUAACCAAAUUUAGCAUUCACCUAGAUAACAAAUAUGUGUGGUUCCUGCCACAGGACAAACCACAAAACAAAAAAAAAACACUCAUGUUUGCAUGCAAAACAACAAUUAACGCAAGAGAGAGAUGACAAACGAACAAGUUGCACUCACGCAAACAAACACAGAAGCAACCGCGAGACGGCAGAAGAAGGAACUAAUCAAAAGAGGAAGAGAUAUGGAAGCUAGCACACCGUGCCAAGCGAGGGAGAAGAAGAGGUCGCGGAGAAAUGGCUCGGGCGAGAAAGAGAGAGGAACAAGGUUAGAAGAAAAACAAAGAUUUGGGAAAGCUAUGCUGAGCCAACCAAACCCUUAAAAACAACAGGAGAAACACACCAAACGAGCAAAGAGAGAUUAAAAAUAUAGUGGCCAGAUGAUUCAUCAAGGAGAGAGGAAUUAUGUGUGGCACACACACAAACACACAGGAACCGAGGAGGGGAAUGAACCCUACCGCUUGUUUCUUUCCCAAUCACUCACUUCUCUGAACUCUACCUGCUUUGGAGUUUAGGAUAUCUCUCGCCGGGGAAUAGUACACUAUUGUGGUGGUGGUGGUGGUGGGAGUGGUUGCAAGCUGAUAUAUAUCUCGCCAAUAUAUGCAAGCUAGCUUUGCCUUCGCCAUCCACAGCACAGAGCAGGUGAUGCUAUUUUACCAGAGAAAGGGAGACAGCAAACCUGGGGGUGGAGGCCGGGUCACAAUGCCCACGCAGGACUGUGGGGACCACUGGGUUGGGCCCACAGGUCGCCCCCAUGCGUGUACCUCGUUAUUCAUGGAAAUGAAAAAAAAAGAGUUGAUGUUAAUCUAGUAUUUUUUUUAAGAUAAUGAGAAUUUGAUAUAUUAAAUUGAUCUCUAUCUUCCUAAAGCUUUUGUAUCCAAAUUUAGAUAAAUAAUCCGAUGGUCGAGAUUGAAACUUUCUAGCAUCCGUUUCUCCCCUACUAAGUAGGUCUUGAUCGACGGCCACCCAUAGCGGUGGUCCGUGGCACGAUGGAAGUCUGCUCGAACGGUGCCGAUGAUAAAUCUUAUUGGAGUUGUGACACCUCUUUUAUUCUAAAUAGCUGCGCUAUUCACGUGAGAGGGACAAAAAUUGACUAGUGGGACCAUGAUGCUUACGUGGGGUUGUGCGGACUACGGGGUCCACACAUAUAACCUUUCACACCAGAAGAUAAGAAAGACAAAUCUAUGUUAUAUUUAGCACUUAAUUAGAAUUAACAUAUAUCUCUAAGAUACAUUCCUAUGUUUUUCAAUCAUACAUUUAAUCAAAUUCAAUGAAAUUAUUCUGACAUACCAAAAACUACACGGCUCAAAACAUAAUCCACAACAGCAACACUAUUACACGUAUCUUGAUCAAUUUGGUUGCUCUAGGCCAAGUUAAUCAGGGUUUCACCCUUGUUGCCACCUCCCCCCCUCAAAAAUUAUGGUAUACCAUAAAUGGAUGUAUGUAGCACAUGCACAAUAAGGGGAAUUAUGUACACAACACAAAGAUGAUAGUGUACUUAACAUUUUGCAGGUUGUAGCCGGAAUUUGGAUGAUACAUAUAUUACACUCUCAAAUCUGAUCACCUUGACCAAUUAAUAUGGUCUCCCACGCAGUGUCUUCAUGUAAUUUGUUACUAUGACAUGCAAUUUUAUUUACUCAAGAGAAACAUCAUCAAUCAAUAUAGGCGGACCUCCAAACGUGCAUGUUAGGGAAGGGGGGGGGGAGAGGGGUUGUGCGCAAUCCACAUGGGUGUGUAUUAUGGGGGAACGUGGGCCCAUAGAUCAUGUAUACCUAGCUUCCUCAUGAAAGGAAAUAAGAAAAUGUUUUUAAGCUAGAUAUUUCCUUAUAAAUUAUCUCAAUUCUGAUAGUACGGUGAGAUCAAAACAUUGGAGACCGAUAUGGUGGGGUUGUGCGCUUCACACAGGUGUAUGGGGACUAUUGGACCCACAUAUCACGUACACAUGGCUUCCUCAUAAAAAAGGAAGAAAAUGUUUGUUUUUUUUAAUCUAGCCAUUUCAAAAAAAUAAUGUUUUAGAGUGUAGAUAGUAGCCUCAAUCCCCACUUCCACAGGGAGGUAACAUGGAAUUUUUCUCAACAUAUAUAGCACCGGAACAAUUCAUUGGAACUAAGCUAUAAUAUGCAUACACAAACUAAGCGUGCCUCGGUUGGUUAGGUUUACUGUGGUGGAACUUGACCACUUGGAUUUUUUGGUGCCUCGCUUCAGGCCUCUUCUGAUCCGGAAGACAAUAGGACAGAGCAAACAAGAGAGGAAACACAUAAAUAUUAUAACCAAAUUUAGCAUUAAGCUAGCUAGCAAAUAUGUAAGCACAGGGCAAACCACAAAACCAAAACCCUCAUGCGUGCAUGCAAAAGAACGGUACGCGGUUAACGCAAGAGGGAUAUGACAAACAAAUAAGUUGCACUCAAGCAAACAAAUACACAAACAACAGCGAGAGGGUAAGAAGAAAUUAGAAGAGGGAGGAGGAGAAGCUAGCAUAGUGCCAAGCCAUGAAAAGAAGAGGUCACGGAGAAAUGGCUCAGACGAGAAAGAGAGAGGAACAAGAACAAGAUAGAAGAAAUAAAUAUGGUACUAUAUUGUAGUAUUGCCUUGAUAGGAAUCCCGCACAUCGUCUCUAAGGAGCAUGGAAUUAGUUACCGUGACAUUCUUCGUGAAAUGCGAUUUUAUUUGCUCAACAAAAAAUCAUUUUAUUUAUAUAACUGAAUCAUAAUCAACCUAUAUUGGGCAGUCUCCAGAGGAGUGCGCGUGUGAACGGGGUGGGUCCUGGGAGGUGGGGGGUCCACAUGGGGGGGACCAUUGGGCCCAUGGGUCAUGUAAAGCUUACUUUUGAAAGGAAAGAAGAAAAGUUUUUUUUUUAGCUAGCUAUUUCCUGAAAAAAUUUCUCAGAAUUUAGAUAGUACGUUGAAGACCGAAACAUUAGAGACCAAUAUUAGGCGGAUCCCUAGGCGGAGGGGUUAGGUGGUUCACAUAGGUAUAUUGUGAGAUUAUUAGACCCACAUAUCAUGCAUACAUGGCUUCCUCAUAAUAAUAAUUUUUUUUUUGUUUUUAUUAAACUAGCCAUUUCCCAAAAUUAUUUUAGAAUUUAUAUAAUACCGUAGAAAUCAAAACAUCACACACCGACAUCCGAUUCUCCCGUAGUAGCUUCAAUCUCAACUUCCACGAGGCAACAUGAAAGUUUCUUGAUAUGGCACUGGUAUGGCUAACUGGAACUAAGCGUAUAAUUUAUGGAAAUUAGAGUGCAUUUGAUUGGAUUCAUAGUUUGGAACCUAUCCACACGGGUUUGGAUGGCUUGUUUCGGGCCUAUUCUGAGGAUGGAGCAAGCGAGGAUAUACACAUAAAUAUUAUGACCAAAUUUAAUUAGCAUUGAGCUAGCUAGCAAAUAUGUGAGCACGGGACAAACCACAAAACCAAACCCCUCGUGUGUGUGCGUGUAAAAGAACAAUUAACGCAAGAGGGAGAUGAUAAGUGUGUACAUUAAUAGAUUGAAUGCGAUUUACAUUUUUUUAUAGGAAUGAUUUUUACACUUGGUUAUUACUAAGUGUAAGAAAGAAUCAAGGCAAAUCUAGAAAAUAAAUUAUAUAAUUCACUUAAUGCAUAUUAUAUUGAAACUUGUUUGCAUGUAUCCAAUCAAUUAAUUACCUAUACGCACACACAUCCAACAUUGCCAUCACAUUGUGUGUUCAAGACAUUCUCUGUCUUGUACAGGUUCGUUUGGCAUAUGUUACUGAGCCAUGCAUAAAAAUAAUGUACUAUACACAUUUUACUGUUUGAUUAAAUUCCUUUCUGACCUAUUUUAACGCAUGAAUACAUGCAUGCAUGUGGAGGCCUGCAUGCAAGAACUCGACAAGUGAAACAGGGAAGGCCGUUUGCAUGUGAUGAUCUGACCUUAAUAUUCUCGCCCCAAACAAGCUAGCUGUUGUCCUAAGAUUAAUUAAUUGGUACACUAGAUGAAAUCAAUAAUACAACUAUAUGUGUGCACAAGUUUAGAUUCGCAAAGGACAAACCAUGUACUGUGCAUGUUAAAAAAGAUGAUCAGCCAGCUGUGAUUUAUGCCUGCAAUGUCACGAGGCUAUAGUGAACAGUACUGAAAACUGCUGCACUGCGCCUGGCUCCAAAGCCAUACAUGCAUGCUCAUCACAGGAUCAAUUCAGUGAACAAACACUGCAGGCAUUAUUUCAAAACCGAUGCUUAAACUGGAAUAAUGUGUAUUACACAAUUGAUCUCCCCGUCAAAUUUAUCACCAUUUCGUCGCAAGAAAGAAUUAAUCUUUUUUUUAGGGACAAGAAAGAAUUAAUUGGUUGACCAUGACUAACAGGGCAACGGUAUAGAUUAUAUGCAGAAGGAACCAGAUAUGGCCAACCAAAAAAAUAUAGUCAAAAUUUGACUAUGUACAUGCAUGGUCGUAGUGUACAUUCCAUUCUCUCAUUUUUGGUAGGAUAAGAUAUGCAACUAAUUAAUUAACUCUUGUUAUUGCGACAGGAUCAACUUUAGUUGUUGGUGUUUGCUUAAUUAAUUAAUUAAUGAUAUUCAUAUAAAGAAAAAUAACAAAUUUUCAUCUUAUAUAUAUCCUUGGUCGGCCUUUGUGUGAGCUAACUUAGGUGAAACCGUGACUCACACGUCAAUGUGUGUACUACACUAAUAAUAGCAAUAAUCAGAGUGAUCUAGAUCAUUAGAGAAUCAACAUACAUGUGUGUAUAUAUACGUCGCCGUACGGGAUGUACAUCUUGCCUUUUUUUUUUUUGAAACCAAAAACCUUGACUACUAGAAGCUGACCAUAUGCUAUGCCAUGCAAAGUUAGCUCGAUUGAUUAGAGAGCUUGAUUUGAGUUCAUUCAUGAGUACAAUAAAUUGAGUGAGACAGGCUUCGUACAUAUAGUACGUACUUGAGCUUUGCCGGUUAAUUAUUACUAGGACCACAGUUUAAUUCGAGUGAUCUUGCACUUUUUGCACAGCGGAUUGAUUGAUCAAUCGAUUAGUCUAUAAUGCUAUAUAUAUGCAACGGCAUAUCACAUAUUUAUAUGCAUGCUGCAUGCAUGACUAACUGAAGAACUGAUGGUUUUUCACUUCAGAUCGAAAAGCUGUGAUCGACCUCUUGAUCUAUGUGGAUGGAACUUAUCUGCAGUCAAAUUGAACAUAGGGACGACAGAGACCAUCUCCAUGUCAUUUCAAAAUUAGGGCUCAAUGGGAACAAUCAGAGUACUACUUGAUUAAUAAUUACAUAAUAAAUGGAGAAAGGGCCCAACUGGAGUGAUGAUUGAGCCCUGAUGAUGCCGGGAGAAGAAGCCAAAUCAAGAUGACUCAAAAGAUGAAAAGGACCACCAAGUGUAUAAUCAAUUAUGUAGUACUCCUACUUUCCUCCUCUCCUUUCUCCCACGAAAAAGUUGGUCAUGUCCUCAUCGUUGUAGGCUACGAAUUGCUAAGCUCACCAAGUAACAUGUACUGCUAGCUAGCUAGUCACAUACAAGUUAAGUCGUCGGUUGAUAUCAAACUAGCCCGUGGUAUGUAUAUUUGUGUGAACUUAGUCGUAUCUUUGAAAUUACCCAAUCCCUGGAUAUUCUUUUAGUUGAGAUACAUAUCUUGCCUUGAUGUCACAAACAUAUCGUUAUUACUAUACCUAUAAGCCAACCAUCACCGAAAGAUACAUGUCUGAUGUUGACAUGAAGUAUCGUACAAAUACAAAAUUAAGACAUGUGAAGUGUUGUUUAGCUCGAAGAAUGCCUUUUGAGUCAACCGGGAAACACACAUUAGACAAUAAUCUCACCAGAGUUGAAACUUCGUUUUCAAUUAUACUAAAACUUAUCGUGUUGAAUCGAUAUGUGACAAUAUACACAUGGCCUAUUGUACGUAGAGUCGCAUUCGUAUAUUUUACAAUCUUCAUAUGGAAACCUGUUGAAAUAAACAGCCAUAGUCACAUUCUUGUAGAUGGAAGAUUACUUCACCGAUCUAGCUUGAGAAAGACUCGGAGUCUUAUCAGCUAGCACCACAAGUUGGUGGACUAGCCAGCCAAGGUUUGAGCCUCAUUAUCUCUUAAUAAACAUCAAUAUAUAUAUAUAUAUAUAUAUAUAUAUAUAUAUAUAUAUAUAUAUAUAUAUAUAUAUAUAUAUAUAUAUAUAUAUAUAUAUAUAUAUAUGUAUGUAUGUAUGUAUGUAUGUAUGUAUGUAUGUAUGUAUGUAUGUAUGUAUGUAUGUAUGUAUGUAUGUAUGUAUGUAUGUAUGUAUGUAUGUAUGUAUGUAUGUAUGUAUGUAUGUAUGUAUGUAUGUAUGUAUGUAUGUAUGUAUGUAUGUGGUCUUUCUUUCAUAUCCACCUUCAUUUUACUAAACUGGUUUUUUUAAGAAAGCCAACGGAAUAUAGUCCAACGAUAAAACAGAGUGCAAUUACAAACUAGUUAAAAAAUACAAUUGGACAACCGUAGUCACAUACACACAUGCAGCAUUGGUUAAUCAUAGUGAAGAAAGGAGGAGGCAAAGAUGGGAGUGAAGCUAGCUAUAUAUGGUGUACUAGCUAGGUAGAGAGAGAGAGAGAGAGCUGAAGAAAGCAAGACCCCUUUGUUGCGCUGAAAAAGGGGAGGUGUGGCUGCCAUGGGAUUGCCCAGCAGGAGCAGGUACCGGGGCGGAUGUUCUUCUUGCACCUUGUCUCGCGUCGCUUGGACGGAUAUCGAUCGGAUGUUUAGCCGAUCACGAGAGUGGGCUCACGCGACUUUGUCUUCUCCCUCCUAUCCCCACCUGCCAACCCUUCGAUUCCUCCAUCGAUCUUCAUAGCUACUUCCUCCAUUUCACAAUGUAAGUCAUUCUAGCAUUUCUCACGUUUAUAUUCCUACAUUAACAUCAAUAUGAAUGUGAGAAAUGCUAGAAUGACUUACGUUGUAAAACGGAGAGAGUAGUAACCUCGCCUGUCACCCCGGUCGUCUAACAUGUACAGCUACCUUCAGUAAAUUUUAUUGUUCGUUCAUACACACUAUAUAGCUAUUACUCGAUCAAACAACAUAGAAGUCUAGUACAAUAAAUCUGCACAUCCCUUCUAACUAGGUUGCCUCAACUUAUAAUAAUAGUAUACAAACUAAUGCUACAGUUAAUCUGGUUGAUAUGGUUUUAUGCGAGAGAAGUCCCAUGCAUGAUGAUAACCACAUGAAAAGGUGAGAGUAGUUAGCACGGUACGACGUAUGUGCGCGUCACGGCGCGGCCGUGUCGGGCAAUAGCGAAACAUGCCGUGCGUUACUACGUACAUUGCACAUAUACUAUGCACGUACGAGUGGGUCCAAAGCAACGUGCGCAUAGUACCAACUCCUACUGUAGUCUGCACGCUGAAUCAUGCACGGAUUGACCGCCGAAAUCGGCCGGAAUCACGCAACAGCAGCUAAGCAUAUAUAUUGCAGCGUGCAGGGUUGAUCAGAGAGUCGAUCGAUCGAUCCUUGCAUAUGCAUGUAUGUGCUUGAAUUGUUGGUGAAAACGAUGGAUGCGUGUGCAGGCGAUGCAUGGGUGCACGGAUAUAUGUUGCGAGAUUCCGGUUGUCCCCGGCCGGCCGAGAGGAAACUGCACGAGCAGCUGAUGCCUCCCUUUGUUCCCGCUACCUCUGCUGCUCAGCUACUGCUAAUUAUAUGCCGCCUCCUCAUGCUCAUCAUCAUCACACAUCGAUGGAUCAAUUCCACUGGUCACCUGCUGCUUAUUAAUUAUUGAUACUACUACUUGAUCCCUACAGGGUUGGCUGUGCUUGGAUGAAUUAGAUGGGGAUCUCUCUCCCUCACUUCUUCCUUGUGGGUUAUUUUAUUCAUAUACAACGGAAAAUUAAUUAUAGAGAACUUUUACUGUACAAUAUACUGCCGGCAUAUAGAUGGGUAAAUCAGGAAUUUUAUAGAAAAUGCGAAAGGGGUUUCUAUGAAUUUCAUGGUUGAGAGUUAACCUCCGUUCGAUCUCGUUUGUGUGCCUUUGAGAGACAAUGACACACGCCACAACGGCACGAUUCCUGAUCAAUUCUGAUCAUCAUUAAAAAUCUACAUACAUACGUCAGUUAUAAAUGACCAUUUACAGAUCAAAUAAUUAGGUUGUACCAUAGCAGAUAUACGUGAAAAGCCUUACACAUUCCAAAUCUUGCUAGCUAGGUUUACACAUAUUUAUACAAUCCCGAUGAUGGUACCAAAUUUUUUUAUCUAGAUCAACUAUUUUGUUUUUAGCAUAAAUAAACCUGUGGAAUAACAAAGUAAAAGAUAAAUUUACCCUUAUAAAUUUUAUACUAUGAUCUAUUUAAGUGGAAGAUCAAAUCAAUCUUCACCAUUGAAUUGUUUAUAUAGCAGUAUAUACUACCAGCGUAUUGUACCUAAAAGUUCUCAAAUUAUAUUAUUGUUCUAGACUUUAUAUGAGAAUGGUAUUGUUUUGGAUUGUUUUAGCCAUCUAAGAUAACACCUUAGAGAUUUGGUUCACCUCCUAACAGUAUUGUGCACGAGUUACUAGCUUAUGUUUUUUUAGUGUGUUAGUCUCUCCGUCCCAAAUUAUAUUUUUUUACAUGGUCAUAAAUAACACAUUAAUUUAUUUCAUGUUAUGUUCCUAACAAAUAUAAAAUUAGCAUCAAAUGAAAGUAUUUUAAAAUACAAACCUUAUAAUAUAACAUGUAUAAUACUGUGUGUAUGGUUAGUACGAUUAUUAGUUAAAAGUUACUGAGUUUGAUUAUCCUAAAAAAACAGAACACCCUAUAAUUUAAGAUGAAGGGAAUACAUAAAAAUUUCUUUGCAUCUGGCAUGUGCCAUCUUGCGGAAGGACGGGCAAUUCGUCGUUUUCACACGAGUGCGUACUUACGUUCAGGGAAUAAUCACGUACGGUACGGCCGAUGAUCACUGAGACGGUCGUCCCAGACAGUGCCGUACUAUGUCUCUCACAUCGAUCGAAGUACGAUGCAUGCAUUGCCAAACACGGUGAAAAAAAGAAGUUGUCUAGGGACGGACGGUUAGAAAAGAGUACUGUGCAGAACCGCAGAUGCCAAACACAACGACCCGCCAGACGGUGUACGGCCGACUAGCAAAUUGAUACACCACCGAUGGCCGUCUUCCGCCGCUGCGUUGCUCAUGGUUUUCUCUGCAUUUUAAAAAACGAGAUUUAAAGAGAGGGACGUCACUCUAAAUAUUUUUUUUAAAAAAACUUUAAAUGUGCUAAGGAUUGAAUACGGAACCUCGAUGUUGAUACCACACAUCACUUUGUCAUCACAGUAUGAAGUGCAUCUCGUUUCUUCCGCAUUCUGCGGCCGAUCCACACCUAGGUGUUGCUGGGCCGUCUUUGUCACGCACGCGCGCUAGCUGAUGGCCUUGGGCCCAGGUAGAUUGGUACCUGUCCUCCAUUGGGCCUCCAAGUCUAGGUAGAUGUUUAAUCGGCCUUGGGCCCUGGAUAAUGUUGGCCUCGGCCCAUAUGCAACCAAGGUCUGACGAUGCUGUUCCCAAUAUGGAAUAAGUUCACCGGAGGUCCCUCAACUUAACAGCGAGAUUUUUUUAAGGUCCCUUAACCACAAAACCAGAAAUCUCCACCCCUAAACUAUACAAAACCGUUCACUCAAGAUCCCUAGGCAGUAUAUAUAGGUGGUUUCACUGACGUGGCAUCCUAGUCAGCAAAAAAAAAAUAAACAAAGCACAUGUGACCCACAUGUCAGCUGCAUAUCUUAUUUUCUUCUCUUUUCUAAUCCUUUCUCUCUUCUCUCUUCUCUUUUGCAUAUAAUGUACACUGCAUGCGCUGCCUCUCUAAGGACGAUUGCCUAAAAAAAGCCUAUAGAGGAGAUUUCUCUAUAGGCCUUUUUUUUCUUUCGAGAUUUCUCUAUAAGAUAAGAUCUGUAUUCUGCUUGCCCUGAUAAUGUCACGUAUUAAUAUUACUAAGGUGUAAAUAUAAGGAAGGAGCAUGUCACAAAAAAAAGGCAUUACGAAAUUCAGACUGCGCCCCUGCUAUAUAUGCUCUGCACUGCAUGAUCAAAUGUCGCCUACACGGACGAAUUCAGACAGAAGAUGAAAAAGGGAAUUAUAUAGAAUCCAGCUUCUGAUCACUGCGUGUAAAGGAUCUGCAAUCUUCGGCCGAAUUUCAAGCGCUACGACAGCGCAAGUUUUCUUCAGAAUGAUUUAUAUAAUCGCCCAGCUCAUCAGAUUUAAGUCAAGUAGAAGCAUUUCUCCAGUUUAGGCUUUUCAUGUCACCAUCUAUCCAGUUUAGGCUUUUCAUGUCACCAUCUAUCGGAUUGCAGCAAUGUUGGAUGUAUAUUUUUCGUGCAGAAAGUUCUUCCUUUUGUUUUCUGAAACGUCAGCAGUAGCUCUGCCAGUCAAUUGAAACGUUUGCCACGAGCAGCAAGCCAGCUACCAGGAAUCCUGAAGAAAAUGUUUUGCACCAUUCUAGAGAAAAAGAGACGUCACUAUGAUCAUCAAUUUCACUGUUCAGUAUCAGAAGUAAUCCAUGCCUUACGCUCACACCAACAACGUGUACAUUGUGAUUGUGAACUCUCUCCAACAUAGCAACAACGAUCAUCCAUCAGUACAGGCAAGCGACAAUGUUCUGAAGUCUGAACAUGCCAAUGCCACAAUUAAUCUCAUCCUCCGAAUGGAAAUAUAUGUCUGCGUAGCAUCUACUAUACUAGUAUUCUGAUUCCUCCGAUGCAUUGCUAGAUCUUGGAAUAGUGCCUAGAAACAAAUUUUUUUUUGUUUCUCUGAUAGGUUAAGAGUAAAACUUUACAGUGACGAUCAUAGUUCCACAAAUUAAAAGGAAACGGAAAUCAAGUCUGUACGUACGUAUCAAACAAAUCUAUACAUCGUGCGCACGAUUUUAGAGGAAAAAUCAAGUGAUUCUAACCUUCAGAUCCACUUCAAGAUUUGUACUCCACGGCCUCCUUCCUCAUCUCCGACAAUCCCCCAAGUGGUUAGGAUUUCAGAGUUGGGGCUGAGGGCGGAAGGUAGUGCCCGACUUAGAAGGAUGGCUAGGACAGUAGCGGCUAGUUGUGUAGGUGGCCAGGGCAGCAAGAGACCACGGUGGCGCCACCUCGGCGUUGAAAGAGGAGGAGAGUGGUGACCUGGUGUUGUUAAGGGAUAAGCUCAUCAUUUGAGUGGUUAGAAGGCUUAGGAGGGAUAUAGCGUAGGAAUACUAGAGACGAUAGCCGAUAGAAGGUGGCGGCAGUUUCAACGACGGAGCCGCGGAAGACAAGCUAUGAGUAUGGCGGUGCGGGGUACCGAAGCCAAAGAAGAUAAAGGGAGGUGAUGGUAUGGAGGUUUCAGGGAGAGGGAUAAGUGACACCGGUAAGGCCGAGGGGGAGUAGAAGACAAAGAAAAUCAUAUGAUUGGAGAAGGGAAAAGAGAUAAAUGCAUAUGUGAUGUGUAAAUAGUCCCAAACGGAAAUCAAUUAUAAAUCGUAGGUGAUGAUGCAGUGCAUGAUUCAGCUCGAUAUGGACAAGAUUUUUUCCCCACAAAAUAAAUAAUACGUGCACUUGAAUACUUCAUAGUACGUAGUUAAGCUUAAACAAAGCCACAAGCCUAAAAUAUUUGUUGCAUUUGCAGAACAUAAUGUGCAUCCCGUGCUUGAUGACUUCUUUUCUAGUUUUUUCAUGAUAAGAGCGUCUACCUAAAAGAUUUGAGCAUGCUGACUAUCGGGUCAGAAUUUGAUGUUGGUGCCUUGGUGGCGAUUUGUUCAUGGACGCACGUUACGAUUCUUUUUUUUAAAAGUAAAGCGCUAUCAGCAUCCGAUAGAAGAUUGAUUGCAAGAACUGUCCUUCAGCUCUUUGAUAGUACGACCGAUUAUUUACAGAACUGGUGAUGCUAAAACCAGGACAAUGAACGCUGAUAAACAAGUACACUGUACACAUAUGGCAAGAUUAAAUUUGUUAUUUUAAAUGAUACGUUUCAUCUAUUUCCGACUUCGUUUUCCGACAAAGCUAAUAAGGAAUACUACCUCAAUUUUUAACCGAUGAUGUCGUUAACUUACACAAAUUUAACAAUUCAUUUUAUAAAAAAAAUGUAAUUAUUAUUUAUUUUGUUGUAAGUUAUUUUAUCACUAAAAUUACUUUAAGCAUGAUUCAUAUAUUCUGACAAAAAAUUUUAAAUGAGACGAAUGAUUAAACAUGUAUAUAAAAGUUAAUGGGGUCAUCUAUUAAAAUACGGAGGUACUAAGUAGAUCUGAUUAUAAAAAUUGGCAUGCGCUCAGCGUGACAUUGAUCUGAUAGCUAUGAAGCUACUCCAGUGUAUAUGGGCGUGCAAAUUGUCUUUUUUUUUGUUUCUAAUACAUAUAUUUUGUUUUCUUAAAUCUGCUUUUUUGUCAUUUCACAUGUAGUACUAGGACUUCGUUCAUCCCAAAAUAACUGCACUCCUCUAAUUUAGCGUGAAGUAGUGCACUUAUUUUGAGACGGAGAAAAUACCACUGAAAAAAAACAAUGCAAAAAUGUUUUUCUUUACAUUUUGCAGCCAUUUAAUUAGCUAUAGGACUCUUAAGACAAUAGUAUCAUGUAAUCUUCGUAGCUUAGACCUUAUUUGGAUUAUCCGAGAUUUCUCAUCAUCUAUCAACGAGCAAAUUAAUUAUUCACUAGUUCAUUUAUUAUCAACGAUGAUAAUAUACACUAUGACCAUAUUGCAGCGUAUGAAAAAUUAAAAAGAAAAUACUAAAGUGCACUACUACAAAGGUGUGUGGUACUGUGGUUUUCCCUUUUUUUAGAGACCAAUAGCAAUCCUUACCACGUAGUCACGUGCUGACGUCAGCAAAAAAGUCAAAGCCUAGCAGUUUGAGUCAACGGCCCAUGGCGGGCAGGGGCAGCGACGGGCCUCGCCUUGUCGGGCGCCCUGAGGCGGAGGCGGCGCGCCAUGUCGCGCAGCGCGAGCUUCUGCACCUUCCCCGUGGAGUUCUUGGGGAGCUCGUCGACGAACACCACCUUCCUCGGCACCAUGUAGUGCGCCAUCCUGUUCCGGCAGAAGGACACCACCUCCUGCUCGCUCACCUCGCCGGCGCCGGCGAACUCCCGCUUCAGCGCCACGAACGCGCACGGCGUCUCGCCCCAGUGCGGGUGCGGCAUGGCCACCACCGCCGCCUCCCGCACCGCCGGGUGCUGGUACAGCGCCGCCUCCACCUCCACGCUGCUGAUGUUCUCGCCGCCGGAGAUGAUCACGUCCUUGGACCGGUCCUUGAUCUCCACGUACCCGUCCGGGUGGACGACGCCCACGUCGCCGGUGAGGAACCACCCGUCCCGGAACGCGUCCGCCGUGGCGCGCGGGUUCUUGAAGUAUCCCUUCAUGACGUUGCUGCCGCGGAGCACGACCUCGCCCAUGGUGGCGCCGUCGCGGGGCACGCUCUCCAUCGUCUUGAGGUCCUUCACGUCGGCGUCGGCGAGGGUGAGCGCGCUCACGCCCUGCCGCGCCUUGAGCCGCGCGCGCUCCGACGGUGGCAGGGCGUCCCACUGCUCCCGCCACUCGCACACCAUCACCACGCCGGUGGCCUCCGUCAUGCCGUAGGCGUGCGUGACGUGGAAGCCGAGCCGCUCGACGCGCUCGAGCAGCGCCGCGGGCGGCGGCGCGCCGCCGGUGAGCACCUCCACGGGGCGGCGCAGCGGCUCCCGGCACGCGCCGUCGAGGAGGAUGUUGAAGAGCACCGGCGCGGCGCACAUGUGGGUGACGCCGUGCGCGGCGAACGCCGCGUACAUGGCGUCGGCGGUCGGCGCGCGGAUGCAGACGUUCGUGCCGCCGCGCGCCGCCACGCCCCAGGUGAAGGUCCAGCCGUUGCAGUGGAACAUCGGGAGCGACCACAGGUAGACCGGCUCGUGGCCGACGCCCCACUGGAGAAGAAGGCCCAUGGUGUUGAGGUACGCGCCGCGGUGGCUGUACACGACGCCCUUGGGCGCCGACGUCGUGCCGGAGGUGUAGUUGAGCGCGACGGCGUCCCACUCGUCCUCCACCGGCCGAGGCGGGUACCUCGCCGGGUCUCCCCGCGCCACCAGCUGCUCGUACUCGAGCUCGCCGACGCGGGCGCCCGUCGGCUUGUCGGCGUCGUCGAUGACGACGAGCAGCGGCAAGGGCGCCCUGACCUCGCCGCCGUCGCCGUCGCCGUCGCCCAUGACGGCCUUGAGCGCGUCGGUGGCGACGCGGAUGAACUGGUAGUCGACGAAGAGCACCUUGGGCUCGGCGUGCCUGACGAUGGCGGCGACGUUGGCCGCGUCGAGGCGGGUGUUGAUGGCGUUCAGCACCGCUCCGGCCAUCGGCACGGCGAAGUGCAUCUCGUACAGCGCCGGCGUGUUGGGCGCGAUGACGGACACCUACGUAACCACAUGAUACAAAAAUUAGCACGUGACAUGCAUGGAGAGUGACACAUAUACUACAUCUUAUUUUCAACUCUCCCAAAAUAGUUUAGAUUCUUACCUAGAUUGUAAAAAUUUGUAGUUAUUCUAGAAGCCAAAAUAUGAAAAAAACUACAGUAACUCUUUAGAUUCUCACUAGCUAGUCGUUCUCACCCGCUGCUUCUCAGAACCUCUGAACUCGCCCGAUUACGACUAUAAUAAUAGGGUAUAGAGUUGCUUACGACGUCGUUCUUUGAGACGGCGAGGGACUGGAGCGCGGCGGCGAGGCGGAGGCAGCGGUGGUGCGUCUGGCGCCACGUGAAGCUGGUGGCGCCGUACACGACGGAGGUGCGGUCGGCGUAGACGGAGGCGGCUCUGUGGAGGAAGGUGAUGGGGCUCAAAGGGACGUAGUUAGCGUCUCUCUUUGGCAGGCUAUCCAUGGUCUUGAUUGAUUGCUAGCUCCUUAAUUCGAUCGUAAUUAGUUGGUAUAUAUAUGAUAUGUGAUAAGAGAUCGAGCAGCUAGCUAGCAGCAGUAGUGCAAGCAAAGCAGCUAAUGGCGAUCGAAUGAGAGGAGUGUGCGUGUGUGCAAGUGCAAGGGGGGUCCUGUUUUUAUAAUGUUUGGGGGUGGAGAGAUGGCGUAAUUGACGGGUUAGUGGCGCGCGUAAAUUAAAAAUUUGUAACUGGAGUGCUGUUCAUGUAAGAUUAAAAAAGAAGAGAAUAUAUGCAUAGUUGUAUUAUUGAGAGGCAACGUGUAAGCAGUACUACCUCCAUAUUUUAAUGUAUGACAUCGUUAACUUUUUGUUUAACGUUUGACCAUUCGUCUUAUUUAAAAAAUUUAUGUAAUUAUUAUUUAUUUUAUUAUGACUUGAUUCGUUAUUAAAUAUUCUUUAAGCAUGACAUAAAUAUUUUUAUAUUUAUAAAAAAAUUUGAAUAAAACGAAUGGUUAAACAUUGGUCGAAAAGUCAACAGUGUCAUACAUUAAAAUACGAAAUACGGAGGGAGUAUGAAGUAGCUAGUUAAUGGAGAGACUCGAUCCUUCUUGAGGGUAUAUGCCACAAUUUUGAGGAGUAUAUAUUUUCUAAAACAAAGGCAGAAGCUUCGUCCCAUUCCAUUGAUAAAGAAGACGUACACAUCCAUCCAGGAAAGGAUUCGUAAACCUUCUAUCACAAACAUGGAGUAUAUUUUAUUCAAACUUUUGAUCAUUAAUUAAUACUUGUGUAGGUCUCCCUGGCAUAACUUAAUUGUGUAUUUUUUUUAAAAAAAAGGUCAAAUGAGCGAGAGAUCUUCCUUCAUCUGUGUGUGUGUCUAUAUAUAUAUAUAUAUAUAUAUAUAUAUAUAUAUAUAUAUAUAUAUAUAUAUAUAUAUAUAUAUAUAUAUAUAUAUAUUUGUUUGGGUUAUAGAUAAGGUAUAUCUCUUCUAUACAAGGGUUUGUGAUAUACAAAAAUACCACAUACUUAAUAAGUAUACAGGAAGGAAAUUCCUUAUAUACAGAUUUUUGCGAGUCUGUAAGGAAAUUGUUUAUCCGGGGUAUAAGGUGUCAGAGUCCUAUUUAGAAAAAACAAAGUUUCUCCCACUAGUGUCUAGCAUAAACUCUGAGUUCUACUUGAAGAAGAUACUCAUCGCUAUAAAUAUAAAGAGUCCUUACAACCAUAGCCAAAGCCACAUCAAGAUACAAUCUGGAAGAAGCCGAAGCCCUAGUUGAUGAUUAGAUCUAGCUGGACUGUGGUAGGUUCUAGUCGGCGGAUUAGAUUGAUCAUCUCUUUCUCCUCCGUUGUAAUCUGUGGGGCACAUCUCCCAACAAUACAUAUAAACUGUAGUAGGGUUAUUACUUAUCUUAAGAGCCCGAACCAAUAUAAAUCAUUGCCUCUUAUCUUCUUGAUACAAUCCCGCGUAUAUUCUGGUACGUACGAUCUUCAUACUUUACAAAUACCGUAGUCGGGUAUAGCCCGUCGACAGUUUCCAUUUUACAAAGGAAAAGAGGUGAAAUGAAUUUUAAUAUCUCAAGUAAAUGUUCCAUCAUGUACCUCCUUAAGGGUUUACAAUGUCCCAUCGUACACAUUUUCUUCCAAAUUCAUUGCAAAAUAGUUAUUUUUUUAAAAAAAAGUAGAAUAGUUGUAUUCUUUUUUAAAAAAUGAUAAUAUACGGUAUAGGGAAAUAUUGAAAUAUACCACUCUACAUUGAGAGGGAAAAAAUAAAUUCAGAUAUAAAUAGUACACUACUACUUUUAUAUGGUUGAAUUUUUCUUUUUUUAUAUCUCAAUGUAUGAGUUAAGUUUGGACAUAAAAAUUUUAUAAAGGGAUAUACAUAUAUUGUAUGAAUAAUAUAAUUUUUUAAAUUAAAAAAUUAUAACUAUUUCGAUGGUUUCUAAAUAAACGUGGUACAACGAUCCAUCGAGAGGUCAAAACAUUUUCCGGGGAAGAGUACAAAAUUCAUGGCAUAUAAUUACAAACUAGAGAGAUUCGAGGGGCAUGCAGUAGAGGCAAUGUUUGUAUCCACACGUGUAGCAUAUAUCGAUCCAUACGUUCAACACACGCAUCUUCACCUUGUGCAUAAAUAAAUUAAGUUGGUGCCUUGGUAAAUAUCUUUUGACUGCUCAUAACUAAUAUGCUGAUCAGUACUCAGGCAUUUGACAACAUCCAAUUAUAUCCCUUUUUUCCCCCUUCUUCUUAGAGAAAUUAACCACCAUAAAAAUUGUGCCACGUAUAGCAUUUGAGUAGCAGAUAGUAUAUGCGUAGCAAGACCGGGAAGAUAAUUCAACGCGGACUUGGACCGAUUAAUUACAUUUCUCGACCAGCUUAAUUCUAAUCUGGCAACUCCCGUCACUGUGAUAUAUAAUCAUGAGCAGCUCUCUCGAUAGCUAGCUAGAUCGAUCGGUUAAUUGAUUCAUGUGUGUUUCCGAUCGACGAUCGCGACCAAUAUAUCAUUGUCUUUUGAAAUUCGUCAUGCAGUGCAAGAUCGAAUGAAAUCAAAGAAACUGCAUGGAAAUUGCGAUUGCUAGCUAGUACGUGCUCCUGGGCCUGAAGUAACGACGUUUCAUUACGUAACUACGACUUAAUUUGUACUAGCAUGCAUGCAUGGAUUAUAACAGUAUAUAUGAAAUGAAAGCUAUAGCUAGCCACUUGGCCGUCGAUCGGUCGCGCUAAUUCGCUUCAAUUAAUUCCAGCGUCAAAGCAAGCGAGCGCCGGCCGGAGAAGAGACUUGUUGCUAGCUCGUGCUUCGGCCGCCGUUGCCACCGGCACCAUGUAUGUACGUACUCCCUCCUUUCUUAAAUGUUUGACGUCGUUGAAUUUUUUAAACAUAUUUGAUCCGUUCAUCGUAUUCAAAAACUUUCGUGAAAUGUGUAAAAUUAUAUGUAUACAUAAAAGUAUAUUUAACAAUAAAUCAAAUGAUAGGAAAAGAAUUAAUAAUUACUUAAUUUUUUUAAAUAAGACGAACGGUCAAAAUAAUAUAUCUUUGAGAUGGAGGGAGUACUAUGUACGAUCGAUCGAUAUAUAUCUCGCCGGAAUUCAGAGAACCAGCAGCUGGUCGUAGCAAUACCCUGAUCGAAUUCUUCACUAGUCGUCAAGACGUACUGACGCCGGCCAUCGAUGAUCGCGAUCGGCCACCGCCACGCACGGCGCCACCAACCAACCCAGCAUGUAGCUAUGCUAUUGCUACCUAGCGCGGCAUUCGAUCAACCGAUCACCGAUGGCCGAUUCAACGACGAUGAUCUGACCGGCUAAAGCUUAAUUAGAUUAUUUAUUUAUUGGAUCAUUGAAACGGAUUAUUUGCUCUACGUUUUCAAAAAUAUAUUUGGGGUGUUAAAAACCUUUUUUUCUUGUACUGCUUAAGCGAACAUAUACUGUAGACGUACUUACGUUACACCUGUAUUCCGUGUAAACAAACUACUACCUCCAUAUUUUAAUGUAUGACGUCGUUGACUUUAUCCAAUGUUUGACUAUUUGUCUUAUUCAAGAAAGUUAUGUAAUUAUCAUUUAUUUUAUUGUGACUUGAUUCGUCAUCAAAUGUUUAAGCAUGCCAUAAAUUUGAAUAAAACGAAUGGUCAAAUGUUGGUUGAAAAGUCAACGGCGUCAUACAUUAAAAUAUGGAGGAAGUAAUAAGUAUAACUGAAAAAUCUUUUAAAAAAUGUACAUGUACGUACUUUUAAUAAUAUUAUACAUAUAUGUAGUAUGAACUUUAAAUUCAUUACAUUUUGACCAUGACAACAAAAAAAAAGAUGAAAAAUCUAACCGUUUUAAAUGUACGAAUUAAUGUGUCAGAAAUUUAUCUUUUUUACGAUUUAAAUAUAAUAAAAUUAAAGAUGAAACUUUGCACAUAGAUAUAAUAAUAUUGGAAAACAUGUGUAUUUUUCUAAAACUUUUGAUGAUAGUUAUUAGUUCGCAUGUAUGGAAAGCUUGUGUGUACUGUAUACAUUUUCAUUGUUCAGACUUUAGACCACUUGUUUUAAAACUAUUAAGUUUAUUUGCCAAAAUAUUUUAUAUAUUCCUGUAAUCAAAUAGAAAUGAGCCAUAAUUCAAUCAAUAAACUGUUUCAAACGUGGCAAAAUUACUGUAUAAAUUAAACAGUAUCACCCAACUGUUUGGUCAGCUAGAGUUGUAGACACGAAUUUUCAGCGGCAUGUCCGUCUCAAUUUGCUGCUAAUAAUACCGAGUAUACCAACUAGUACUCUUUUAGUAAGUACGGGCGUUUUAAUCAAAAUUUGGUUUGCUGACAAACUGACAAGCACACAUCACUGCAAGCAGCAUGGCGACCGUUACUAAUCUUACAUGUACUUAAAUUAACUUCCCCAGCCAAUUAACUGUUGCCGGUUGCUACCUGCGAGAUCGGUUCUUCCACACUCCUGAGAAUUUUCAGACAAUUUUAUCGCUUAUCAGGCCCGUUCAUGGUUGGUGGAAGCUCUUCAGUCACCGGUCUAGUUGAUUAGAAUCCAUACUGAUCAAAUUAAGGUUCCCAAUUUGGUCAAUUUUAGCAGAGCACGUGCGAGCUCAAAGUGCGACGUGGUGUGUAAGGCGUCAAUCGCAGCUAACGCGUUGGUUGCAACAUUCGGGGAAGAAGGGGUUAAAGCGGUCAAGGUAUUGAAUCUUUAAUUUCCAAUUACGUUGGCAUGCGUUCUUUAAUUUCUUGGUCUAGUGGUGGUCUGUCCAGGCCGUCUGGAAAAAUUACUCGCGGUCAAGAGAGUGAAAUGGUCAGGAAUUUACAGCAGCUAUUUCUGCUUGACGGGGGCAUGCACGCACACAUUCAAGUAAAAAGUUAAAAGAGGAGAUUACUCGUCCACGUAGAAACGUCACAUGUAAUUAUACUUUUUUUAAGAGCAGGUACAAUAGCAAACUAUAAGCCAGCUAUAAACAUAUUUUAAAAAGAUAAAGGAAAAGAGAGAAAAACAGCGGGCUACAGAUAUGUAGCCAGGUACAGCACGAACUUCAAUACGUAAUGUUACGUAAUGUGUGUAUGACAGGUAUGACCAGAUAUUAAUAAUGUAGUAAACAACUAUUGUAUGAAUUGGCUAUUUUAUUAGCUAUAGAUGAUUUAAAGCUAAUAGUUAGCUAUACUGUUAAACUUGCUUUUACUGAUUCUGAACUGGAAGAAUAACAUGAAACGAUAUCAAUUUGUUACUGCAAAUGUAUAGCACUUUUGGGCCUUUUGGACCUUAUUUACAAACGAAGAGGAAUGUAUGGGCCGGGCCUACCUCCUCGAUCUGUACGUGGGCUGUAUCUGUAAUUGAUGGCAACUAAAAAACCGAGUUCGAAUUGGAGUACGUGACAGUGCCAACUGAAUUAAUAUAAGGUGACGGAAACCGCUCUCAGCUCAACGCGCCGCCACAAUGGCUAGGGCCGCGAACCGCCGCCGGCGACGUGGUGGGGUCGUCUAUGCGGUGGUGCUCGACGACAAGGAAGGCAGCCUGGUCUUCCGCUUCCGCCGCAAGGAUCUCUUCUCCGACGACGACGACCCGCCACCGGCGGGGCGGCGCCGCUUUCCGCGCCCCGUGGCGCACUUCCCUCGCGGCUACUACCACUACGUGUUUCACUCCUUCACCGUCUCCGGCAAGCAGAUCCUCGGGGUGAGCCCCUUCGGCGCCACCGUCGUCAUCGAAGACGACGGCCGCCCCGGUGGCAGCGGCGCUAUGCGGGCCGGCCCGGAGCUGGGCACCACCACGUGCCAGCCUAUCCUGCUCCCUAUCCGGGAAGACAUGGUGCUCGUCAUGGCCUAUCUUCCACAGCCGGCCGGCCGGAGUAACUUCGCCGUGAUGCGGCGGCUCCCAGACGGCGGCGGUGGUGGCGGCGGGUGGCGUGUCGUCCCUGUUCCGGAGCCGCCGCUCGGGGGCCCCGGAGACUACUACUGCCGCAAGCCAGCGCCCGUCGUGACGGCCUACAUGACCAUCGGCCGGAGAGCGUGUGUCUCCAUAGCCGGCGAAGGCACCUUCUCCCUGGACGCCGGCGGCGCGGCGGCGUGGCGGAAAGAGGGAAGCUGGGAGCUGCCGCUCCACGGGCAGGCGAUGUACGUGCGGGAGCUCGGCGCCGCCAUCGGCUUGGGACGCGGGCCGGGCCCCUACGGCGGGGUGGUGCUGUGGCUGUGCGCCUGCGACGUCGAGGCCAGGCCGCCGGUGAUCCGCCGGUCGUGGAACGAGACCUUCCCCAGGGAGCUGGUGGCCGCGCACUCGCAGUAUGACUGUCCUGGUAACCUGGUGUAUGUCGGCGACGGAAGGUUCUGCAUCUGCUGGGUCGCCGGCGUCGAGCACGACCGCCCCGAGACAAACGACAUGGUCGCGCGCACCGCCGUCGUCACCAUGGCAGUGCGGCUGAGGCGCUCCGCCGGCGGCGAGCUCCAGCUCACCAAGCUCCGCUACCACCUCAUGUCGCCGCAAGGCAGACGCGCCUACUUCGUCCAGCCCCACAUUCCUUAAAUCGAAGGAGUGACCUUGGAAAGAUCGAAGAAAACAGACAAUAUGUCAGUCACUCUAUACGUGGGCGAUGAAAUACCACUCAAAGAAUACACUAGAUAAAAUAUCACUCAGUACGUUGUCUAGUCGAUGAAAUGUCACAUUGGGGAGUUUUAACCAUUUUUAUGCCCGAAAUGCCCUUGGUUGUGGCUGUGAAGGGAUAGGGAGAGGGGAACGCCCGGGGAGGACCGGGCGGGCGGCACGACGACACUGGAGGCCUCACUGGAAGGAGGAGAGGACUGAGAGGGAGGGUGGCGGCCAAGGUGGCAGCUGGGACGACGGGGUGGAGGGAGGAGGUGGUGACGACAGGUGGAGAUGGACUCGUUGUCCCCAUCAUCGCUCGGUUGCUGCUACUCGCCGCCCGGUCCUCCUCCCCCGUGCCGCCUCCUCUCCCUGUUGUCGUUGCCUCCCGGCGAGCGCACUUGUCGCUCUCCGCCCCAUCCUCCUCCCUCAUCGUCGCCUCUUCAUCCGCCCCAUUUGGCCGCUCGCCAUCUUGUCCCCCCCCCCCCCCCCGCGCCGCUCGUCAGCCCGCUCGCCAUCUUGUCCUUCCCCUGUUGCCGCCGCCGCCUCCUCCUGGUGAGGCCCAUUUCGGGCAUAAAAAUGGUUAAAAAUUCCUCAAAGUGGCAUUUCAUCCGGUUGGCAACGUACUUAGUGAUAUUUUAUCCGGUGCAUCUUAUUAAGUGUCAUUUCAUCAAAACCCCACGUAUAGAGUGGUAUAUUCUCCGUUUUCUCAGAAAGAUCGAUGAGAAGAUGCCAUUUCAAUUCGAGGUGGACAUCCAAACCAAAAGCAAAGCUCUCUCAUUCCAAACGGGAAAGAAAAAACCAAUGCACUCUUCCUUCAAACGUCGACUCUGCAAAUACUAGGAUUUGCUACAUAAACAUUGAAAUUAACGUGAUUGCAAGUUUGCAACGCCUGGGUUCUCGAUCAAAAGGGCACUACACUGUUACAUCUUUCUCAACUUCUGGAUGACGAGUCAAACAACAUAUGUAUCGCCUGGUUUCAGUUAGAACACAAGCACAAAAGAUUACAUGUUUUGCUACGAUUAGAACAAAAAACUUAGCAUAGGCAAUGUCUGCUCCCCGCAAUAACCACUGCAUUUGUAUAGCAAAGCAUCCAUUGAGCUAACUCAGGUUCUUCUAUCUGUACUGUUCAGGUAGCCGAUAACCUGUCAUGACUAUCUUGUCUGCAAACAUCUUGCCGGUCUUUGGCAUAAUAUGCCAGUGCAUUGUCAGGUUAAAAUCCUUUCCUUUGAGGUUGCUUCCCUGCAACCCAAAUAAAAAGAUGAGGGUAUGAAAUCAACUGUGUGAAUGAAUAAUGUGCCAUUGCAAAUAUUUAGAUAAAUGGUUGCAACCUACAUUCAGUAUGUAAUCAGCAAAGAACAGAACAGGAUAUCUUCACAAAAGAAAAAAAAACUAAAAAGGCGAGACUAAUACAGUCAAGGCAUAUAGCAGGAGUCACCACCCAAAAGCUGUUGGUGAAAAAUCUGUGCUCGGUGCUUAGGACCAACCACUCUACCCUAUGUUAAAACAUCACUAAGGAAAAAGUGAGCCUUCAUGCAUUCAGAAUUUUUUUCAAGUACAAAACAAUAUAUACGAGUUUAGGACCAAUUGACAUAGCCCAUCCAAAACACAAUAUGCGAAAAAGAGAAAAUGUUCUCAUUCAUAAAUAUUUCAGAACAAGCACACCUCAAUCAUCAAGUAGACAUAUUUUAAACAAUCUACUCAACACAAAAUGACCCUUAUCUUUUUCAUGGAAGGAAUAAUCCCUCUACUUUGAAAUGCUAAACAACAACCACAAUCAAACUAAUUAUGUUAGAUGAAUUUCACUAAAUUAACAUGCAAUCAAAGAAAUGUGCUAACCUGGUCAAUAAAUCUGUACUUGUUUGUUGUAUGGAUCAAAAACUUGGCGUGCUCUUUUGAUGGUAUAAUGCCAUCCCAGAGGGAAACCUGUGAUGUGAAUCCAAUAUGAACAUUACAACUAUAAUUUGAAGAGGAUAACCUGAAUAAAACAUAGGCCUUCAGAAAUACAAAAGAUAAUGGCUGCAGGCAAGAAAAAUGACUCCAACUACUGAUACAGAGAAAUUAAUAUCAUAUUUGUUGAAGUAAAAUAUCAAGUAUUCCAUUUAGUCAUAAGGUGCAUCAAAGAAACUAUAAAAUAUAUGCUCUUUUUUGGCUCACCCAUGGGUUCAAAAUUUUUAAAAAGGGCCUUAUAGUGUAUUAAAUUUGAGUUAUUUCAGAUCGACGUUAGGCAGGUUAGGACAUUGCAGUAGCAUACAGCGGAGCUCCCAAAAUAAAUCAUCACAACUGAUGAUGGAAAGGAUGGAAGUUGAUUUGACUAACCCCAAGGCAUGUGUUUGUGAACUGUACCCAAUAAGCACUGAGAACUGCUUGGUCUACCCUUAAAGAGUGGUUAUGGUUAAUAAACCUAGAUAGGAGCAGUGGGAAAUAAUCUAUCCACUUAGCCCCUAAAGCAUGGUUUGGAUCAGGAUCCUUGUGAUUAAACAGAGCAAUAAGAAUGUGAGAAACUAGUGGUGAUAACAUAAUAAUGAUGCGUGGUGAGGCAAAAUCAUCGUGGUUCUAUGCUUCCAGAGUGACAACACACCCACUAGUGAUCUCUGUGGACAUUUUGUUUCCCGUACAGAAGAAAGCCAUGUAAAUAUUUGAAGAUAGUAGACAACAGAGCAUCGAAAAAUAAUCAUCAAUAGACUCACUUGAUUCAAGGCAUUUUGUGGAGUCUCAUAUUCAGCUGCGACAAAAACAAAGACCUACAAACAUCCAAGGAAGUAUCAUUAAGAAAGCAGCAGCAGGAAAAACUUCUUUAGUAUCGAAAAGAGUUUAGAUGGCAUGUCCAUAUGAACUUCAGAGCAUGACAACAUAAAACUACAUUAAAACUUAUAGAAAACAAACCACCGCUCAAAAUGCAUUGAGGUCAUUCUGCACACCAGAAUCACUAAACAAAUUACACUCCCCUGGAAAACAUAGCAACAAACUUCCAUUUUGUUUCACUCUUUCACCCACAAGAUAUGUGUUGGAGAACUUGCCUUCCUUUAGUUGAGCCUAUUUCACAAUUGCCAUAAGCCCAUAACUCAUAAACUAAUUUACUUGAUCCUUUUGUCAGAAUCCUGCCUUGAUGCAUUAUAGGGAGAUCUAAGAAGCUCAUAAGGUAUCAAUAAUAAUGCAAUACUAGUACAGUUUACCUGUUUUGUGUUCCACGUGAACAGAGACGAGAGGUCAGCCGAAAUGUUCAGCGUCAUGCUGACCUACCAGAGGAAACAUAAUUGUGUGAGUUCAUGGCAUAUCUUAAUGUUGUUUGAACAAAACUUUUAGAGUUUCAGGAGAGAGAAAAAAUGAUAUGAAUCACCUCGUCGUUGCCGUUGGCUUCCUUCUGAAACCAGUUUAUGUUCAAGAUCUGCGCAAUUAAAACGACACAGAAUAAUUAGCAGAACGAAAGGGCUCGCGAGAGAGAGAUCGGACGAGCUAAUCAAGCAGGGAGAGCACGCAGAUCGAGCAGCCGGCGGCGAAUUAAGUUGGCCGAGAUCGGUACAGACGAGGCGAGGCGAGGAGGGGGUUGAGAGAGAUAGAGCGGCGGGGCGCGGCGCGGGCGCGGGCUCCGGCGAGGUUUACCUUGACAGAGGCGGUGGGGGAAGGGGAGUUGAAGUGGUCGGAGAAGGAGGCGGCGAAGCACAUGGCGGCCAGGAUGGUCACCGCGAACGUCGCCACCGCGUUGGCGCGGUGCCCGAACGAAUGCAUCCUCCCCCUCUCCUCCCCGACGAGCUGCUCCCUCUCCACGGUCGGGUAGAUCGCCGGGCUUCGCUUCUCCGCGGCGGCGCCGGCGACUUCAGUUCAGCUCUCCUCCCUCUCUCUCUCUCUCUCUCUCUUUUUUCUUUUUCUCAGAAGAUUUGUUUAUUUUUAGCGUUGGGGAAGACGAACUGAAGUCGCGUGACGGGUUGGGGACCCACGUGUCGGAGAGCGUGGGCCGGCUGAGUUGGCAGCCGCUGAUUGGUCGCAGCACGUCACAGAGGAGCACGGCUGUACGCCUGCAGGUGGGCUAGCGCAUUGAACGGCCCGUGAUGAGAACAGUUUGGGCCUGCAGGUCCAUGGUAGGCGGAAGAACUUCCAAUUGGGCCUGUCACUCACACGGCUCAUCUGGCUUUUCACCCUAUGGUAAGCAACGGCUUGCCAAAAUUUAAAUUUUAAAACUUGAUUUUUGAUGUUUUUUUAACAAUGGCUUUUACUACUAAGUCGCAAAGAACUCAUAUUAAAAGUUUUACCUAUAAAUUAUUUUGUUAUCAGUAAUAAGUCGUUGCGGCAUAUAAUCAGCCGUGAGCAACUGAUGGGGACCUCUUUUCGGAUGCGUGGAGAAUGGAGAUGUGCCAGUUUAAGAUGCACUUUGUUUAACAAUGUAUGACGAGAAAAAAACAUCGAAAUAAAAUGAUAUCUCGAAUCUGUAAGUUAAGCCACCAGAUAUAUUACUCAAAUAUAAUAUAAGAUAAAAAGAAAAUUUAACGACACAAAAAAGGUUCAUACAAACUAUGGAACUAUACAAACGUGCCAUCUAGAUGGCCAAGCUUGCAUGCAUACAGUUACAUCGAUCAUAACGUACUAAAAAUCUAGCUGCAAAAUCACACACAAUGACACAAAAUCAUAGUACAAAUACUUGGAUUAAUUCCGUAUAGAAGUCGUCGUACGUUAUCCUGUGGCGGCGAGAAAGGCCGCGCAGUCGAGCGGCUGGAACGAGACGACAUUCUUGGCGAGGUCGUAGAGCACGAGCGUGUCCAGCAGCGCCCAGCUACCCAGCACCGGGACGCCGUUCGACGAGCUUGGCGUCAUCGUCAGGCAGAUCAACCCGCCCGCCGAGUCCUUCGCCAGGUAGCUCGCCGGGGGCAGCACCAGGUCGGCGGCGCCGCCGUCGAAGUGCAGUGUCAUCGUCACGUUCGGCGGCGUCGGCGUCGCGCCGCCCGCCGCGAGCUCGAAGCAGAGGUCGAGGCCGACGCCCGCGGAGGCGUUGGCGUUGGCCUCCUUCAGUGGCGCGAGCUGGGCGACCAGCGCCCGCCUCACCGGCCCGUACGUCGCCUCGUCGAGGACGGUGACGGGCGACGUGCUGUCGAUGACGAGCGCGCGGCCACCGCCCUCCGCCGACGACGCGCCGGCGACGUCGACCAGCGUCGCGCCCACCGUCACGCCGACGAGCUUGACGAAGUAGCCGGACUUCAGCACGGGGUCGGCGACCAUGGGAGUGGACGCCGCAGGGGUGGUGGUUGCAUUUGUGGCCAGCUCGGGGGAGCCGCCCAAGAAGACGGCGCUGGAACCGGGUGCACCGCUCGACGAAAAGCAGUAGGAGAACCUGUCGAUACCAAGCUGGUUGAGGAGAGACACGCCGCCGCGGCCGCCGCGGCCGACGCCGAAGACGCCGGCCACGUUGUCGUAGUAGCCCUGGUUGCGCGUGCCGCAACCGAACGUGAUGUUUGCCACGGUAACGUUUCCCAGGGCGAACGUCUCCGUGGCGAAGUAACCCGAGGUGAAGGAUUGUUUACUGUAUGUGUAAUUGUAGCUACUACUGGUCAGGUUUGCGUAGGUUUCGGUUUUGUUCGGGUCGUACAUGUCGCCUGCCUGGGCGACGCAGCUCAGGCAUGGCUGGCACUGUGUCCAGAGGAGGUCGCUGGUGGUGUCGAACACUAGCGUGACGUUCAUCGCCGGCGUGCCAAUGCCCAGGAACACAUGAGGCUCGACAUGUUUCUCCUGCACCCCGCCGGGUGUCGACGACAAGCCCCGCCGGGUGCUGUUGGACUGAUCACCUUCGUUCGGAUAAUCUCUGCUCCCACUCAACUGAUUCGCGAUUUCCUUCCCUAUGUGCUCCAAGAAUUCACCGGCGCCUCUCACAAGGACUGAAGAUGGUAGGCGAGCUGCACGAACAGAAGGUGCAACGGAGAUGAGAGUAGCAGAAGAUAGUAGAGCGAAAAUGAGAGGCAACUUAGCGGAAAUCAUCGCCUCGAUCUGAACCUGUGGUCAGCUUAAUUGGCACUCUGAGAAUCUGAGAUCGAGCUUAAUUAAAUUGCUUCGUCCGGAACAGGAGAUUACUGAUAUUUAUAGGAAUGAACCAUGCAUUAAACAGAUACUGCCUGCACUUGUUCCAACUACUCCAUACUGAGAGUAUUUAAAGUUAACUGAGAUAAAAACAAGCGUUGCAAAGUUCAUCGCAACUUGUUUGCUAGCACUCGAUCCCCAUGUCAAAAUGACGUUCGCGUUGUUCAUAUGGAUUUAUAGCUGCACUGGGUAGUUAAUCAGUAUAAGCGUGGCACCUGGGUUGUUCGUAAACCAAGCGUCGGGCUUGUACCACACGGAGAGUUGAGAGCCUGUCAGUGUUUGGAAUCGAAGUCGUUCUGCUAACUGCUACUUGAUACCUCAUCAAGGAAGGCUUGCAGUUACGUAGGUAGAAAUAGUUUACGAUUUCUUUCAGUUUUCUUCUGCUCAUGGGUACGCAUUUUCUAUCGCAGACACUUUACACAAGUCAGAUCGAUGGAGUGAAAACUCUAUGUGCUUCUUGGCUGUGUACGUAGUACAAGAAAAACUCUAUCACACUCUGCACGAUGAGUUUGAAAUUGACAGCAGCAUAAUUAAAGCCUAUUUGAACACGAAUCACUGGGACUGGGUUGCGUUCAGAACCGGCCGAAGGGAAGCAAUGGGCCGGAACCGGUAGCCUGGUAAGAGGCCCAGUAGCCUGCCUGAUGAUAUGCAGGCCGGUACUAGAGCGGCCCAUGAUUCCAUGAGGUGGGCCAGGCCACCAGAGGUGGUCUCUCACGGUGUCUGGUCACCGAAAGCAGCCACGAAACCCUAACCUAAUGAAGAA
rnacentral:lncRNA from 1 species